rnacentral:misc_RNA from 1 species
AACAUCGCGCACCUGCGGGAACCUGCGGAGGGAUCAUUACAAGAAGCCGAAAGGCUGCUUAAAACCAUCGCGAACCUAUCCAUCAGCGUUGCUUCGGCGGGAGGAGGCCGCGGGGCCGGCGUCUGCCGGGCCCGGGGCCCGGGGACCCGCACCCUCUCGGGGGUGCGGGGCCCGCCCGCCGGAGGUAUGAAACUCUUCUGUAUCUAUAGUGGAAUUUCUGAGUAAGCAAGCGAAUAAGUC